GGGCCCAGUCGCGUCGGGCCUCCCGAGGGGGCUGCGAGUGUCAGUCGGCUCUCCGCACGUGUCCGCGGCCUCGCGGAGCAGUCCACCCCUGGCUGGUUUCUGCUUCCACCUGCUGAUCUCACAGAGCUUGAUUUUGACACAAAGCAAGAUACUGAACAUUAACACCACCACAGAGGCCUACUAUGUGCUCCUGUCCCUGUUGUUACUUCCUCCAAAGUGUUGGAGGAGGGGCCUUGUGGAAGGUGAUUGAAUCACGGGGACGGACUUUCCUGUUGCUGCUCUUGUGAUGGAUUUCUCACAAGAUCUGGUUGUUUGAAAGUGUGUAGCACCUGCCACUUCACUCCCUCUCUCUCCUCCUGGCCAUGUGAAGACUGUGCCUGCUUCCUCUUUGUCUUCCACCAUGAUUGUAAGUUUCCUGAGGUCUCCCCAGGAGCAGAAGCCUAUACAUCCUGCAGAACUGCAAGCUAAUUAAAUCUGUUUUCUUUAUAAAUUACCCAGUCCCAGCACUGCAAGCUAUUUGGCAUAUGAAGGUCUUGACCUGAGAAAACCAUCUUGGAUAACUGCAGCAAGGAAAAGGAAAAAUGCAACACCUAGGAGAUUUCAGUAAACAGUAGAAUCAUGCCAACCUAAUCUGUGUUAAAAUGCUUGGAAUGUGGGAGCCGCUGAUGAUGCCUCUUGUCUGUGUGUCUGACUGAAUCCUUUCUUUUCUCAGAGCAGCAAAGCAAAGCCUGGGAACCAGGCCAAAUGCCUGCCACUUACCUUAAAUUGAUCAGCCACUUUGAGAUUAAAACCCCUGAAAGCUGCCACACCGUGAAAACAAGGCCUCCUUCACAUUAAAGGCAAAUUGCGACUUUG